AGGGGUGGUAGGGAGCCGCUUGUUGAUGACAUCACGCCCGGUCCCCACCCCCGCUCACGCGCUCGCGCCACCCUGAGCAAGAUGGCGUCGCGAGGGGGCCCGCGCGUUGCCUUGGAGACGGCGCGACGCGGUGGCGGCGCGGCGCGAAUCUCGCGCGGCGGCGGCGGUGACUCCUCGCUGAGUCCACCCGAGGCAGAGUCGCUGAGUCCACCCCAGUCAGAGUUCCUGAGUCCACCCGAGUCUCCCUCGGUCGACCAUAGUCAGGGUCCCUCAGUCGACCCCAGUCAGGGUCCCUCAGUCGACCCCAGUCAGGGUGCUUAAGUCAACCAGAGUGUCCCUCAGUCGACCCGAGUCAGGGUGCUUAAGUCAACCAGAGUGUCCCUCAGUCGACCCCAGUCAGGGUGCUUAAGUCAACCAGAGUGUCCCUCAGUCGACCCUAGUCAGGGUGCUUAAGUCAACCAGAGUGUCCCUCAGUCGACCCUAGUCAGGGUGCUUAAGUCAACCAGAGUGUCCCUCAGUCGACCCUAGUCAGGGUGCUCAAGUCAACCAGAGUGUCCCUCAGUCGGCCCUAGUCAUGGUGCUUAAGUCAACCAGAGUGUCCCUCAGUCGACCCUAGUCAGGGUGCUUAAGUCAAUCAGAGUGUCCCUCAGUCGACCCUAGUCAGGGUGCUUAAGUCAACCAGAGUGUCCCUCAGUCGACCCUAGUCAGGGUGCUUAAGUCAACCAGAGUGUCCCUCAGUCGACCCUAGUCAUGGUGCUUAAGUCAACCAGAGUGUCCCUCAGUCGAUCCUAGUCAGGGUCCCUAAGUCAACCAGAGUGUCCCUCAGUCGACCCUAGUCAGGGUCCUUAAGUCAACCAGAGUGUCCCUCAGUCGACCCCAGUCAGGGUCCUUAAGUCAACCAGAGUGUGCCUCAGUCGACCCUAGUCAGGGUGCUUAAGUCAACCAGAGUGUGCCUCAGUUGACCCUAGUCAGGGUGCUUAAGUCAACCAGAGUGUCCCUCAGUCGACCCUAGUCAGGGUGCUUAAGUCAACCAGAGUGUCCCUCAGUCCACCCGUGUCAGAUGUAUUGAGUCGACCCAAAUCUCCCUCAGUCCACCCGUGUCAGAGUUCCUAAGUCGACCCGAAUAUCGCCGAGUCUACCUGAGAGUGGAGCGAGAGUCGUGGAGCGAGAGUCAAGGAGCGAGAGUCAAGGAGCGAGAGUCAAGGAGCGAGAGUCAAGGAACUUUUGAGACGGAGUCCUCGUCGCCGCUCGCACCACCAGCCGCGACUCGGCUGCCAAGGAGGAAGUGCGACCAACGUGUGGCGAGACCGCACACGCGGUGCACGCACACGCACGCGACGGUGCAGCUGUGCCAGUGAUGAUGACACUCAUCAGUGUUUCCUCGUGCUGCUGUGACGGUGGGAGUCGGGCAGCGCUGUGAGCGAGCGGUGCUGUGAGUACACGGUGCGUUAUUGCAGUGUCUCCGAGUGGUGAGCGACAGUGGGAGUCUAGGGCAGCGCUGCGAGUGAGCGGUGCUGUGAGUACACGGUGCGUUAUUGCAGUGUCUCCGAGUGGUGAGUGACAGUGGGAGUCUAGGGCGGUGCUGCGAGUGAGCGGUGCUGUGAGUACACGGUGCGUUAUUGCAGUGUCUCCGAGUGGUGAGUGACAGUGGGAGUCUAGGGCGGUGCUGUGAGUACACGGUGCUUCAUUGCAGUGUCUCCGAGUGGUGAGUGACAGUGGGAGUCUAGGGCAGCGCUGCGAGUGAGCGGUGCUCUGAGUACACGGUGCUUUGUUGCAGUGUCUCCGAGUGGUGAGUGACAGUGGGAGUCUUGGGCGGUGCUGUGAGUGUGCGGUGCGUUAUCACAGUGUAUCCUAAUAGUGAAUCAGUGGUAGUCUCGGUCGGUGCCGUCAAUGUGCGGUGCGCUGGGACUGCUGGUGAGAUAGGGAAGUGAAUGCGGUGUUGGUAACGCGGCGAGUGUGACACAAGCACCGGUAUUGAUCCGCGACACGGGCCACUGCCCGCGUCCCCGUGUGUCCCCACGCGUCCUCUGACGUGUCUCCGUGAGACUCCGCGCGUCGCCGUGAGUCUCUGUGUGUCUCUGUGUCCACUUGUGCCUUCCUUCGUGUGCCCUCCCAUGUCACAAUAUGUCAUCCUGUGUCUCUCUAUGUUUCGUAGAUUCUCCCCGUGUCCCUUUGUAUGUCUCCGUGUUCCCCUGUGCCUCCCUCUAUCCCCGUGUCUCUCUGUGUCCCCUUGUCCCCCUGCUGUCCCCCGCCGUAUCUCAACUGUGCGCUUGAGUCUCAUUCUGUCAGUUCUCUCGAUAUGAAAACGCUCCGCAAGGAAAAACGUCCAAACAUCCCAGUGCAGGACUCUCCUUGGGAAGCGUCUUGAGACUCGAUGACUCUUUGCUCGAUAAACAACUCUCUUGAUCAAUCUUGCUUUUGAAAUGCAUUCUUGUGUCUCCGUGUGUCUCUGGUUUCAGCAGCACCACCAGCAGCAGCAUCAGUAGCAUCAGCAACAGCAGCAAAAACAACAACAGCACCAGCAGU